rnacentral:rRNA from 1 species
AUUGAACGCUGGCGGCAGGCUUAACACAUGCAAGUCGAGCGGAGAUGAGGUGCUUGCACCUUAUCUUAGCGGCGGACGGGUGAGUAAUGCUUAGGAAUCUGCCUAUUGGUGGGGGACAACAUUCCGAAAGGGAUGCUAAUACCGCAUACGUCCUACGGGAGAAAGCAGGGGAACUUCGGACCUUGCGCUAAUCGAUGAGCCUAAGUCGGAUUAGCUAGUUGGUGGGGUAAAGGCCUACCAAGGCGACGAUCUGUAGCGGGUCUGAGAGGAUGAUCCGCCACACUGGGACUGAGACACGGCCCAGACUCCUACGGGAGGCAGCAGUGGGGAAUAUUGGACAAUGGGGGGAACCCUGAUCCAGCCAUGCCGCGUGUGUGAAGAAGGCCUUAUGGUUGUAAAGCACUUUAAGCGAGGAGGAGGCUACUGAGACUAAUACUCUUGGAUAGUGGACGUUACUCGCAGAAUAAGCACCGGCUAACUCUGUGCCAGCCGCCGCGGUAAUAC